rnacentral:rRNA from 1 species
AACGAACGCUGGCGGCAGGCCUAACACAUGCAAGUCGAGCGCCCCGCAAGGGGAGCGGCAGACGGGUGAGUAACGCGUGGGAAUCUACCUAGUGGUACGGAAUAACCCCGGGAAACUUGGAGUAAUACCGUAUACGCCCGAAAGGGGAAAGAUUUAUCGCCAUUAGAUGAGCCCGCGUUGGAUUAGCUAGUUGGUGGGGUAACGGCCCACCAAGGCGACGAUCCAUAGCUGGUCUGAGAGGAUAAUCAGCCACACUGGGACUGAGACACGGCCCAGACUCCGACGGGAGGCAGCAGUGGGGAAUAUUGGACAAUGGGCGCAAGCCUGAUCCAGCCAUGCCGCGUGAGUGACGAAGGUCUUCGGAUUGUAAAGCUCUUUUGGCGGGGACGAUAAUGACGGUACCCGCAGAAUAAGCCCCGGCUAACUUCGUGCCAGCCGCCGCGGUAA